rnacentral:rRNA from 1 species
GAUGANACGCUAGCGACAGGCCUAACACAUGCAAGUCGAGGGGCAGCACGGUGUAGCAAUACACGGGUGGCGACCGGCGCACGGGUGAGCAACGCGUAUGCAACCUACCUACAACAGGGGAAUAACCCGUUGAAAGACGGACUAAUACCCCAUAAUACAGGGAUCCCGCAUGGGAAUAUUUGUUAAAGAUUUAUCGGUAGUAGAUGGGCAUGCGUUCCAUUAGCUUGUUGGUGAGGUAACGGCUCACCAAGGCAACGAUGGAUAGGGGAACUGAGAGGUUGAUCCCCCACACUGGAACUGAGACACGGUCCAGACUUCUACGGGAGCCAGCAGUGAGGAAUAUUGGUCAAUGGACGAGAGUCUGAACCAGCCAAGUCGCGUGAAGGAAGACGGCCCUACGGGUUGUAAACUUCUUUUGUAAGGGAAUAAAUAGUCUUACGUGCUAAGACGUUGCAGGUACCUUACGAAUAAGGAUCGGCUAACUCCGUGCCAGCAGCCGCGGUAAUACGUAGGUGGCGAGCGUUGUCCGGAAUUAUUGGGCGUAAAGCGCGCGCAGGCGGGAUAUUAAGUCUCAUUUAAAAGUGCGGGGCUCAACCCCGUGAUGGGUGAGAAACUAAUAUUCUUGAGUGCCGGAGAGGAAAGCGGAAUUCCCAGUGUAGCGGUGAAAUGCGUAGAUAUUGGGAGGAACACCAGUGGCGAANGCGGCUUUCUGGACGGUGUCUGACGCUGAGGCGCGAAAGCCAGGGGAGCGAACGGGAUUAGAUACCCCGGUAGUCCUGGCGGUAAACGAUGGGUACUAGGUGUAGGGGGUAUCGACCCCCCCUGUGCCGGAGUUAACGCAAUAAGUACCCCGCCUGGGGAGUACGGCCGCAAGGUUGAAACUCAAAGGAAUUGACGGGGGCCCGCACAAGCGGUGGAGCAUGUGGUUUAAUUCGAAGCAACGCGCAGAACCUUACCAGCCCUUGACAUCCGUCGACCGUCGCAGAGAUGCGUUUUUCCCUUCGGGGACGGCGAGACAGGUGCUGCAUGGCUGUCGUCAGCUCGUGUCGUGAGAUGUUGGGUUAAAUCCCGCAACGAGCGCAACCCUCGCCUUCAGUUGCCAGCAUUUAGUUGGGCACUCUGGAGGGACUGCCGGUGAUAAGCCGGAGGAAGGUGGGGAUGACGUCAAGUCCUCAUGGCCCUUACGGGCUGGGCUACACACGUGCUACAAUGGCGGUGACAAUGAGCAGCGACUUCGCGAGGAGGAGCUAAUCUCAAAAAGCCGUCUCAGUUCGGAUCGGAGUCUGCAACUCGACUCCGUGAAGUUGGAUUCGCUAGUAAUCGCGCAUCAGCCAUGGCGCGGUGAAUACGUUCCCGGGCCUUGUACACACCGCCCGUCAAGCCAUGGAAGCCGGGGGUGCCUGAAGUUCGUUACCGCAAGGAGCGACCUAGGGCAAAACUGGUAACUGGGGCU